rnacentral:tRNA from 1 species
GGCUCGGUAGCUUAGUUGGAAAAGCACUUGUCUAGCAAAUAAGGUUCGUAAAUUCAAAUCUCACCUGAGCUG